rnacentral:rRNA from 1 species
CGAGAGGCCCAAACAUUAUUCGGAAUUACUGGGCUUAAAGAGUUCGUAGGCGGCAUGACAAGUAGGGUGUGAAAUCCCUCGGCUCAACUGAGGAACUGCCUUUGAAACUAGCGAGCUUGAGGCCGGAGGGGGUAGCGGAAUUCCCAGUGUAGCGGUGAAAUGCGUAGAUACUGGGAGGAACACCAGUGGCGAAGGCGGCUACCUGGACCGGUACUGACGCUGAGGCGCGAAAGCGUGGGUAGCAAACAGGAUUAGAUACCCUGGUAGUCCACGCUGUAAACGAUGGGUGCUCGGUGUCGCGGGUAUCGACCCCUGCGGUGCCUUAGCUAACGCGUUAAGCACCCCGCCUGGGGAGUACGGUCGCAAGGCUG